rnacentral:miRNA from 1 species
AGUACAACUAUCGUCUAUGAAC